UGAGUAACCUGCCCUUAACUCUGGUAUAAGCCUGGGAAACUGGGUCUAAUACCGGAUAUGACUCCUCAUCGCAUGGUGGGGGGUGGAAAGCUUUAUUGUGGUUUUGGAUGGACUCGCGGCCUAUCAGCUUGUUGGUGAGGUAACGGCUCACCAAGGCUUCGACGGGUAGCCGGCCUGAGAGGGCGACCGGCCACACUGGGACUGAGAUACGGCCCAGACUCCUACGGGAGGCAG
rnacentral:rRNA from 1 species